rnacentral:rRNA from 1 species
GAUGAACGCUAGCUACAGGCUUAACACAUGCAAGUCGAGGGGCAGCAUCAUCAAAGCUUGCUUUGAUGGAUGGCGACCGGCGCACGGGUGAGUAACACGUAUCCAACCUGCCGACAACACUGGGAUAGCCUUUCGAAAGAAAGAUUAAUACCGGAUGGCAUAGUUUUCCCGCAUGGGAUAAUUAUUAAAGAAUUUCGGUUGUCGAUGGGGAUGCGUUCCAUUAGGCAGUUGGCGGGGUAACGGCCCACCAAACCAACGAUGGAUAGGGGUUCUGAGAGGAAGGUCCCCCACAUUGGAACUGAGACACGGUCCAAACUCCUACGGGAGGCAGCAGUGAGGAAUAUUGGUCAAUGGACGAGAGUCUGAACCAGCCAAGUAGCGUGAAGGAUGACUGCCCUAUGGGUUGUAAACUUCUUUAUACGGGAAUAAAGUUAGCCACGUGUGGCUUUUUGUAUGUACCGUAUGAAUAAGGAUCGGCUAACUCCGUGCCAGCAGCCGCGGU